UGGCGGCAGGCCUAACACAUGCAAGUCGAGCGGUAGAGAGAAGCUUGCUUCUCUUGAGAGCGGCGGACGGGUGAGUAAUGCCUAGGAAUCUGCCUGGUAGUGGGGGAUAACGUUCGGAAACGGACGCUAAUACCGCAUACGUCCUACGGGAGAAAGCAGGGGACCUUCGGGCCUUGCGCUAUCAGAUGAGCCUAGGUCGGAUUAGCUAGUUGGUGAGGUAAUGGCUCACCAAGGCGACGAUCCGUAACUGGUCUGAGAGGAUGAUCAGUCACACUGGAACUGAGACACGGUCCAGACUCCUACGGGAGGCAGCAGUGGGGAAUAUUGGACAAUGGGCGAAAGCCUGAUCCAGCCAUGCCGCGUGUGUGAAGAAGGUCUUCGGAUUGUAAAGCACUUUAAGUUGGGAGGAAGGGUUGUAGAUUAAUACUCUGCAAUUUUGACGUUACCGACAGAAUAAGCACCGGCUAACUCUGUGCCAGCAGCCGCGGUAAUACAGAGGGUGCAAGCGUUAAUCGGAAUUACUGGGCGUAAAGCGCGCGUAGGUGGUUUGUUAAGUUGGAUGUGAAAUCCCCGGGCUCAACCUGGGAACUGCAUUCAAAACUGACUGACUAGAGUAUGGUAGAGGGUGGUGGAAUUUCCUGUGUAGCGGUGAAAUGCGUAGAUAUAGGAAGGAACACCAGUGGCGAAGGCGACCACCUGGACUAAUACUGACACUGAGGUGCGAAAG
rnacentral:rRNA from 1 species